UAUGUNGCUACCAUUAAGUUGAGCACUCAUGCGAUACUGCCUGCGAUGAGCAGGAGGAAGGUGGGGAUGACGUCAAGUCAUCNUGCCCCUUAUACGCUGGGCUACACACGUGCUACAAUGGGCAGUACAGAGAGUUGCCAACCCGCGAGGGUGAGCUAAUCUCUUAAAGCUGUUCUUGGUUCGGAUUGUACUCUGCAACUCGAGUACAUGAAGUUGGAAUCGCUAGUAAUCGCAAAUCAGCAUGUUGCGGUGAAUACGUUCUCGGGUCUUGUACACACCGCCCGUCACACCACGAGAGUUGGUUGCACCUGAAGUAGCAGGCCUAACCGUAAGGAGGGAUGUUCNUAAGGUGUGAUUAGCGAUUGGGGUG
rnacentral:rRNA from 1 species